UACGUAGGGGGCCAGCGUUGCUCGGAAUUACUGGGCGUAAAGGGUUCGUAGGCGGUGCGGCAAGUUGGGAGUGAAAUCUCUGGGCUCAACUCAGAGGCUGCUUUCAAAACUGCCGUGCUCGAGUGCGGGAGAGGCGAGUGGAAUUGCAGGUGUAGCGGUGAAAUGCGUAGAUAUCUGCAGGAACACCCGUGGCGAAGGCGGCUCGCUGGACCGCAACUGACGCUGAGGAACGAAAGCUAGGGGAGCAAACAGG
rnacentral:rRNA from 1 species